UCGAUGCAAGUAUUAAUGACUGGCGAGUCUUAGAUGAAAAGACCCACACCGACGUUUUAGAGAAAAUUGUGGAAACUCCAAAAAAGACAAUAUAUAUUGAUGAGUUUGUUGAAAUAGAACGAAACAAUGCUCUUGUUGAGGAUAUUAAUAGCUCACUAUACAAAAAAAACGAAACUCGAAAUGAAAAACUGAUCACAAAGGAUAUUUAUGAUGAAACCGAUACGUUUGUAAACGAUUCAAAAUCAAAGAGAAUCGCAAAACAAUCAACCCAUAAGGAUAAUCGACACACGGAAAUGUGUAUAUGUGAAAUUUGCACAUGCGGGCGACAUCAUUGUGCUGGUACUGAAACUAAAAAAUCCACAAGUGACUAUCUCGAUACUCAAGACACAACUUUUGAAACCCAAACUAGGAUACGCACAAAUACGUGGUCCAAAUCAGACUUGGAGGAACUUAGAGAAUCUCAUAGAAAAGACACAAAAUACAUUCCAGAGCAUGAAAAUGACAAUUACAUAAUACGAGCAACACCAGUUAAACCUAUAGACAAUUUAAAACAAGAAGGCGAAUUUUAUGUACCUGAAAAACCAACAUUUAAGACCGCUGAAAAGAUCCAACAAAUUAUUCGUAAGGAUAAUCUAACAUUAGAAGGUGAAAUGACUUUCGUUGAAAACGCAGAAUAUCAAUACACAAGUAGACCACAGCAAAUAAAACCAACUGACAACUUACGUUCUGAAGGUGAAUUCUAUAUGCCAGAUAAAGUUGGAUAUAUACCAGCAGAUAGAACAAGUCCAAUUAGGCACAAAGACAACUUAAAAACCGAAGGUGAAUUCUACACAUCUGAGAAAACAGAAUAUCAGCAAGCAGAAAAAAUAGAGCGUGUCAUAAGAAAAGACAAUCUUAAGUCAGAAGGAGAAAUGACUUUUACAGAAAAGGAAAAAUACACAUAUGUUACACGUCCUGAACAAAUAAAAUAUACAGACAAUCUUAAACCGGAAGGCGAGUUUUACAAACCAGAUAAGCAUGAAUACAAGCCAGCUGAUCGACCAACUCAAAAGAAACCUGAAGAUAAUCUACGUCCCGAGGGAGAGUUUUACGGUCCUGAAAAACCGAAAUAUAGACCAGGUGAAAGACCAACACAAGUUAAACAUGACGACAAUCUCAAACCUGAAGGCGAGUUUUAUGCUCCAGAAAAACCGAAAUACAAACCGGGUGAAAGACCAACCGCAGUAAGACCUGACGACAAUUUACGGCCAGAAGGAGAGUUUUAUACCCCAGAUAAAUCUAUAUUUAAACCUGCAGAGCGACCUCUUCAAAAGAAACCGGAAGAUAAUUUGCGCCCUGAAGGAGAAUUUUAUGGACCAGAAAAACCGACAUACAGAUCAGGCGAACGUCCGGAGCAAGUACGUCAUGAUGACAACUUGCGACCAGAAGGCGAGUUCUAUACACCAGAGAAACCAACAUUUAAACCAGCCGAGCGUCCCAUUCAAAAGAAACCCGAAGAUAAUUUGCGGCCAGAAGGCGAAUUUUACACACCUGAAAAAUCUAAAUAUAGACCAGGUGAAAGACCAACUCAAGUUCGGCACGAUGAUAAUCUUAAACCUGAAGGCGAAUUUUACGCUCCAGAAAAAUCAAAAUAUAAACCUGGAGAAAGACCAACUCAGGUUCGACCAGAUGAUAACCUUAAACCUGAAGGUGAAUUCUAUGUUCCCGAAAAAACACAAUUCAAGCCCGCAGAAAAAACACAACGAGUUAUUCGUAAAGAUAAUUUGAAGACAGAAGGUGAAAUGACAUUCGUUGAGAGGGAAGAAUAUCAAUAUGUUAUCAGACCAGAACAAGUAAAACCAACUGAUAAUUUAAGGCCCGAAGGAAAAUUCUAUGCACCAGAUAAAGUUGAUUUUGAACCUGCUGAGCGACCUGUACAAAAGAAACACAAAGACAAUUUACGACCAGAAGGUGAAUUCUACACUCCUGAGAAACCGACAUACAAACAAGGUGAAAGACCAACUCAAGUCCGUCCCGAUGAUAAUCUCAAACCUGAAGGUGAAUUCUAUGCUCCAGAAAAACCAAAAUAUAAACCAGGUGAGAGACCAACUCAAGUUCGACCAGAUGACAACCUACGUCCUGAAGGUGAAUUCUAUACACCGGAGAAACCAACGUAUAAGCCGGCUGAACGACCCAUUCAAAAGAAACCCGAAGAUAACUUGCGGCCAGAAGGUGAAUUUCAUAGUCCCGAAAAACCAAAAUAUAGACCAGGUGAAAGACCAACUCAAAUUCGACAUGAUGAUAAUCUCAAACCUGAAGGCGAGUUCUAUGUUCCAGAAAAACUAAUAUAUAAACCCGGUGAAAGACCGACACAAGUUCGACCUGAUGAUAAUCUCAAACCUGAAGGUGAAUUUUAUGCUCCCGAAAAAUCAAAAUAUAAACCUGGAGAAAGACCAACUCAAGUUCGACCCGACGAUAAUCUUAAACCUGAAGGUGAAUUCUAUGUUCCAGAAAAAACACAAUUCAAGCCCGCAGAGAAAACACAACGAGUUAUUCGUAAAGAUAAUUUGAAGACAGAAGGUGAAAUGACAUUCGUUGAGAGGGAAGAAUAUCAAUAUGUUAUCAGACCAGAACAAGUAAAACCCACUGAUAACUUAAAACCUGAAGGAAAAUUCUAUGCACCAGAUAAAGUUGAUUUUGAACCUGCUGAGCGACCAGUCCAAAAGAAACACAAAGACAAUUUACGACCAGAAGGUGAAUUUUACACUCCAGAAAAAUCGAAAUAUAAACCAGGUGAAAGACCAACACAAAUUCGACAUGAUGACAAUCUCAAACCUGAAGGCGAGUUCUAUGCUCCAGAAAAACCAAAAUAUAAACCUGGUGAAAGACCAACUCAAGUUCGACCAGAUGAUAACCUUAAACCUGAAGGUGAAUUCUAUGUUCCAGAAAAAACACAAUUCAAGCCCGCAGAGAAAACACAACGAGUUAUUCGUAAAGAUAAUUUGAAGACAGAAGGUGAAAUGACAUUCGUUGAGAGGGAAGAAUAUCAAUAUGUAGUCAGACCAGAACAAGUAAAACCCACUGAUAACUUAAAACCUGAAGGAAAAUUCUAUACACCAGAUAAAGUUGAUUUUGAACCUGCUGAGAGACCUAUUCAAAAGAAACCAGAAGACAAUUUAAGACCAGAAGGUGAAUUCUACACUCCAGAAAAACCAAAAUACAAACCAGGAGAAAGACCAACACAAGUUCGGCCCGAUGAUAAUCUCAAACCUGAAGGCGAGUUCUAUGCUCCAGAAAAACCAAAAUAUAAACCUGGUGAGAGACCAACUCAAGUUCGACCAGAUGACAAUCUCAAACCAGAGGGUGAGUUCUAUGCUCCAGAAAAACCGAAGUAUAAGCCUGGUGAAAGACCAACUCAAGUUCGACCAGAUGACAACCUACGUCCUGAAGGUGAAUUCUAUAUACCGGAGAAACCAACGUUUAAGCCGGCUGAACGUCCCAUUCAAAAGAAACCCGAAGAUAACUUGCGGCCAGAGGGUGAGUUUCAUAGUCCCGAAAAACCAAAAUAUAGACCAGGUGAAAGACCAUCUCAAGUUCGACCUGAUGAUAAUCUCAAACCUGAAGGCGAGUUCUAUGCUCCAGAAAAACCAAAAUAUAGACCAGGUGAAAGACCAACUCAAGUUAGACCAGAUGAUAACCUUAAACCUGAAGGCGAAUUCUAUGUUCCCGAAAAAACACAAUUCAAGCCCGCAGAGAAAACACAACGAGUUAUUCGUAAAGAUAAUUUGAAGACAGAAGGUGAAAUGACAUUCGUUGAAAGGGAAGAAUAUCAAUAUGUAGUCAGACCAGAACAAGUAAAACCAACUGAUAACUUAAAGCCUGAAGGAAAAUUCUAUGCACCAGAUAAAGUUGAUUUUGAACCUGCUGAGCGACCUGUCCAAAAGAAACACAAAGACAAUUUAAGACCAGAAGGUGAAUUCUACACUCCAGAAAAACCGAAAUACAAACCAGGUGAAAGACCAACUCAAGUUCGACAUGAUGACAAUCUCAAACCUGAAGGCGAGUUCUAUGCUCCAGAAAAACCAAAAUAUAAACCUGGUGAAAGACCAACUCAAGUUCGACCCGAUGACAAUCUCAAACCUGAAGGUGAAUUUUACACUCCCGAAAAACCUAAAUAUAAACCUGGAGAAAGACCAACUCAAAUUCGACCUGAUGAUAAUCUCAAACCAGAAGGUAAGUUCUAUGUCCCAGAAAAACUGAAGUAUAAGCCUGGUGAAAGACCAACACAAGUUCGCCCCGAUGACAACCUACGUCCUGAGGGCGAAUUCUAUACACCAGAGAAACCAACAUUUAAACCAGCCGAGCGUCCCAUUCAAAAGAAACCCGAAGAUAACUUGCGGCCAGAGGGUGAGUUUCAUAGUCCCGAAAAACCAAAAUAUAGACCAGGUGAAAGACCAACUCAAGUUCGACCUGAAGACAACCUCAAACCUGAAGGUGAAUUUUAUACUCCAGAAAAACCAAAAUAUAAACCUGGAGAAAGACCGACACAAGUUCGACCAGACGAUAAUCUUAAACCUGAAGGUGAGCUUUAUGUUCCCGAAAAAACACAAUUCAAGCCCGCAGAAAAAACACAACGAGUUAUUCGUAAAGAUAAUUUGAAGACAGAAGGUGAAAUGACAUUUGUUGAAAGGGAAGAAUAUCAAUAUGUAGUCAGACCAGAACAAGUAAAACCAACUGAUAACUUAAAGCCUGAAGGAAAAUUCUAUGCACCAGAUAAAGUUGAUUUUGAACCUGCUGAGAGACCGGUUCAAAAGAAACCUGAAGACAAUUUGCGACCAGAAGGUGAAUUCUACACUCCAGAAAAACCAAAAUACAAACCAGGAGAAAGACCAACACAAGUUCGGCCCGAUGAUAAUCUCAAACCUGAAGGUGAAUUCUAUGUUCCAGAAAAAACACAGUUCAAGCCGGCAGAGAAAACACAACGUGUUAUUCGUAAAGAUAAUUUGAAGACAGAAGGUGAAAUGACAUUCGUUGAGAGGGAAGAAUAUCAAUAUGUAGUCAGACCAGAACAAGUAAAACCCACUGAUAACUUAAAGCCUGAAGGAAAAUUCUAUGCACCAGAUAAAGUUGAUUUUGAACCUGCUGAGAGACCUAUUCAAAAGAAACCAGAAGACAAUUUAAGACCAGAAGGUGAAUUCUACACUCCAGAAAAACCGAAAUACAAACCAGGUGAAAGGCCAACUCAAGUUCGGCCCGAUGAUAAUCUCAAACCUGAAGGCGAGUUCUAUACUCCCGAAAAACCAAAAUAUAAACCUGGUGAAAGACCAACUCAAGUUCGACCAGAUGAUAAUCUUAAACCUGAAGGUGAAUUCUAUGUUCCCGAAAAAACACAAUUCAAGCCCGCAGAGAAAACACAACGAGUUAUUCGAAAAGAUAAUUUGAAGACAGAAGGUGAAAUGACAUUCGUUGAAAGGGAAGAAUAUCAAUAUGUAGUCAGACCAGAACAAGUAAAACCCACUGAUAACUUAAAGCCUGAAGGAAAAUUCUAUACACCAGAUAAAGUUGAUUUUGAACCUGCUGAGAGACCUAUUCAAAAGAAACCAGAAGACAAUUUAAGACCAGAAGGUGAAUUCUACACUCCAGAAAAACCAAAAUACAAACCAGGAGAAAGACCAACACAAGUUCGGCCCGAUGAUAAUCUCAAACCUGAAGGCGAGUUCUAUGCUCCAGAAAAACCAAAAUAUAAACCUGGUGAAAGACCAACUCAAGUUCGACCAGAUGACAAUCUCAAACCAGAGGGUGAGUUCUAUGCUCCAGAAAAACCGAAGUAUAAGCCUGGUGAAAGACCAACUCAAGUUCGACCAGAUGACAACCUACGUCCUGAAGGUGAAUUCUAUACACCGGAGAAGCCAACGUUUAAGCCAGCUGAACGUCCCAUUCAAAAGAAACCCGAAGAUAACUUGCGGCCAGAGGGUGAGUUUCAUAGUCCCGAAAAACCAAAAUAUAGGCCAGGUGAAAGACCAACUCAAGUUCGACCUGAUGAUAAUCUCAAACCUGAAGGCGAGUUCUAUGCUCCAGAAAAACCAAAAUAUAGACCAGGUGAAAGACCAACUCAAGUUAGACCAGAUGAUAACCUCAAACCAGAAGGCAAAUUCUAUGUCCCAGAAAAACUGAAGUAUAAGCCUGGUGAAAGACCAACUCAAGUUCGACCAGAUGACAACCUACGUCCUGAAGGUGAAUUCUAUACACCGGAGAAGCCAACGUUUAAGCCGGCUGAACGACCGAUUCAAAAGAAACCCGAAGAUAACUUGCGGCCAGAGGGUGAGUUUCAUAGUCCUGAAAAACCAAAAUAUAGACCAGGUGAAAGACCAACUCAAGUUCGACCUGAUGAUAAUCUCAAACCUGAAGGCGAGUUUUAUACUCCAGAAAAACCAAAAUAUAAACCUGGAGAAAGACCAACUCAAGUUCGACCAGAUGACAACCUACGUCCUGAAGGUGAAUUCUAUGUUCCAGAAAAAACACAAUUCAAGCCCGCAGAGAAAACACAACGAGUUAUUCAUAAAGAUAAUCUGAAGACUGAAGGUGAAAUGACAUUCGUUGAAAGGGAAGAAUAUCAAUAUGUUAUCAGACCAGAACAAGUAAAACCAACUGAUAACUUAAAACCUGAAGGAAAAUUCUAUACACCAGAUAAAGUUGAUUUUGAACCUGCUGAGCGACCUGUCCAAAAGAGACACAAAGACAAUUUACGACCAGAAGGUGAAUUCUACACUCCAGAAAAACCGAAAUACAAACCAGGUGAAAGACCAACUCAAGUUCGGCCUGAUGACAAUCUCAAACCUGAAGGCGAGUUCUAUGCUCCAGAAAAACCAAAAUACAAGCCCGGUGAAAGACCAACUCAAGUUCGACCUGAUGACAAUCUCAAACCAGAGGGUGAGUUCUAUGCUCCAGAAAAACCGAAGUAUAAACCUGGUGAGAGACCAACUCAAGUUCGACCAGAUGACAAUCUCAAACCAGAGGGUGAGUUCUAUGCUCCAGAAAAACCGAAGUAUAAGCCUGGUGAAAGACCAACUCAAGUUCGACCAGAUGACAACCUACGUCCUGAAGGUGAAUUCUAUACACCGGAGAAACCAACGUUUAAGCCGGCUGAACGUCCCAUUCAAAAGAAACCCGAAGAUAACUUGCGGCCAGAGGGUGAGUUUCAUAGUCCCGAAAAACCAAAAUAUAGACCAGGUGAAAGACCAACUCAAGUUCGACCUGAUGAUAAUCUCAAACCCGAAGGCGAGUUUUAUACUCCAGAAAAACCUAAAUAUAAACCUGGAGAAAGACCAACUCAAAUUCGACCUGAUGAUAAUCUCAAACCAGAAGGUAAGUUCUAUGUCCCAGAAAAACUGAAGUAUAAGCCUGGUGAAAGACCAACUCAAGUUCGACCAGAUGACAACCUACGUCCUGAAGGUGAAUUCUAUACACCGGAUAAGCCAACGUUUAAGCCGGCUGAACGACCCAUUCAAAAGAAACCCGAAGAUAACUUGCGGCCAGAGGGUGAGUUUCAUAGUCCCGAAAAACCAAAAUAUAGACCAGGUGAAAGACCAACUCAAGUUCGACCUGAUGAUAAUCUCAAACCUGAAGGCGAGUUUUAUACUCCAGAAAAACCAAAAUAUAAACCUGGAGAAAGACCAACUCAAGUUCGACCAGAUGAUAAUCUCAAGCCUGAAGGUGAAUUCUAUGUUCCAGAAAAAACACAAUUCAAGCCAGCAGAGAAAACACAACGAGUUAUUCGUAAAGAUAAUCUGAAGACUGAAGGUGAAAUGACAUUCGUUGAAAGGGAAGAAUAUCAAUAUGUUAUCAGACCAGAACAAGUAAAACCAACUGAUAACUUAAAGCCUGAAGGAAAAUUCUAUACACCAGAUAAAGUUGAUUUUGAACCUGCUGAGAGACCUAUUCAAAAGAAACCUGAAGACAAUUUACGACCAGAAGGUGAAUUCUACACUCCAGAAAAACCGAAAUACAAACCAGGAGAAAGACCAACACAAGUUCGGCCCGAUGAUAAUCUCAAACCUGAAGGCGAGUUCUAUGCUCCAGAAAAACCAAAAUAUAAACCUGGUGAGAGACCAACUCAAGUUCGACCAGAUGAUAAUCUCAAACCUGAAGGUGAAUUUUAUACUCCAGAAAAACCAAAAUAUAAACCAGGUGAAAGACCAACUCAAGUUCGACCAGAUGAUAACCUUAAACCUGAAGGUGAAUUCUAUGUUCCCGAAAAAACACAAUUCAAGCCCGCAGAGAAAACACAACGAGUUAUUCGUAAAGAUAAUUUGAAGACAGAAGGUGAAAUGACAUUCGUUGAGAGGGAAGAAUAUCAAUAUGUUAUCAGACCAGAACAAGUAAAACCCACUGAUAACUUAAAGCCUGAAGGAAAAUUCUAUGCACCAGAUAAAGUUGAUUUUGAACCAGCUGAGAGACCUGUCCAAAAGAAACACAAAGACAAUUUACGACCAGAAGGUGAAUUCUACACUCCAGAAAAACCGAAAUACAAACCAGGUGAGAGGCCAACUCAAGUUCGGCCUGAUGACAAUCUCAAACCUGAAGGCGAGUUCUAUGCUCCAGAAAAACCGAAGUAUAAGCCUGGUGAAAGACCAACUCAAGUUCGACCUGAUGACAAUCUACGUCCUGAAGGUGAAUUCUAUACACCGGAGAAACCAACGUUUAAGCCGGCUGAACGUCCCAUUCAAAAGAAACCCGAAGAUAACUUGCGGCCAGAGGGUGAGUUUCAUAGUCCCGAAAAACCAAAAUAUAGACCAGGUGAAAGACCAACUCAAGUUCGUCCCGAUGACAACCUCAAACCAGAAGGCGAAUUUUAUACUCCAGAAAAACCAAAAUAUAAACCUGGAGAAAGACCAACACAAGUUCGACCAGAUGAUAAUCUUAAACCUGAAGGUGAAUUCUAUGUUCCCGAAAAAACACAAUUCAAGCCCGCAGAGAAAACACAACGAGUUAUUCGUAAAGAUAAUUUGAAGACAGAAGGUGAAAUGACAUUCGUUGAGAGGAAAGAAUAUCAAUAUGUAGUCAGACCAGAACAAGUAAAACCAACUGAUAACUUAAAGCCUGAAGGAAAAUUCUAUACACCAGAUAAAGUUGAUUUUGAACCUGCUGAGAGACCUAUUCAAAAGAAACCAAAGACAAUUUACGACCAGAAGGUGAAUUCUACACUCCAGAAAAACCGAAAUACAAACCAGGAGAAAGACCAACACAAGUUCGGCCUGAUGACAAUCUCAAACCUGAAGGCGAGUUCUAUGCUCCAGAAAAACCAAAAUAUAAACCUGGUGAGAGACCAACUCAAGUUAGACCUGAUGACAACCUCAAACCUGAAGGUGAAUUCUAUACUCCAGAAAAACUAAAAUAUAAACCAGGUGAAAGACCAACUCAAGUUCGACCAGAUGACAACCUACGUCCUGAAGGUGAAUUCUAUACACCGGAGAAACCAACAUUUAAGUCGGCUGAACGUCCCAUUCAAAAGAAACCCGAAGAUAACUUGCGGCCAGAGGGUGAGUUUCAUAGUCCCGAAAAACCAAAAUAUAGACCAGGUGAAAGACCAACUCAAGUUCGACCUGAUGAUAAUCUCAAACCUGAAGGCGAGUUUUAUACUCCAGAAAAACCAAAAUAUAAAUCUGGAGAAAGACCAACUCAAGUUCGACCAGAUGAUAAUCUUAAACCUGAAGGUGAAUUCUAUGUUCCAGAAAAAACACAAUUCAAGCCCGCAGAGAAAACACAACGAGUUAUUCGUAAAGAUAAUUUGAAGACAGAAGGUGAAAUGACAUUCGUUGAAAGGGAAGAAUAUCAAUAUGUAGUCAGACCAGAACAAGUAAAACCAACUGAUAACUUAAAGCCUGAAGGAAAAUUCUAUGCACCAGAUAAAGUUGAUUUUGAACCUGCUGAGCGACCUGUCCAAAAGAAACACAAAGACAAUUUACGACCAGAAGGUGAAUUCUACACUCCAGAAAAACCAAAAUAUAAGCCGGGUGAGAGACCAACUCAAGUUCGACCAGAUGACAACCUCAAACCUGAAGGCGAGUUCUAUGCUCCAGAAAAACUAAAAUAUAAGCCCGGUGAAAGGCCAACACAAGUUCGACCUGAUGAUAAUCUCAAACCUGAAGGUGAGUUCUACUCUCCAGAAAAAGCAAAGUUUAAACCUGCUGAAAAAAUACAACGAAUUAUUCAUAAAGAUAAUUUGAAGACAGAAGGUGAAAUGACAUUUGUUGAAAGGGAUGAAUAUCAAUAUGUAGUCAGACCAGAGCAAGUAAAACCAACUGAUAACUUAAAGCCUGAAGGGAAAUUCUAUACACCUGAUAAAACUGAUUUUAAACCUGCUGAGCGACCGGUCCAGAAAAAACCAGAAGACAACUUGCGACCAGAAGGUGAUUUGUUUAUACCAGGUAAAUCGCAGUACCGACCUGCUGAGAAGACUAAGAAGGUUAUUCAUAAGGAUAAUCUACGAACCGAAGGUGAAAUGACAUUUAUCGAGAAAGACGAGUAUCAGUUUACUAUUCGGCCGAAUCAAAUUAAACCAAGCGAUAAUUUAAAACCAGAAGGCGUAUUUUAUACUCCACAAAAAUCUGACUUCAAGCCCGCAGAGCGUCCUAUUCCAAAAAUACCUGAGGAUAAUUUACGUCCUGAAGGUCAAUUUUAUGGCCCUGCAAAGCCGGAAUACAAACCUGGAGAGAGGCCAACACCUGUUAAACAUGAUGAUAAUUUGAAACCUGAAGGAGAUUUUUAUGUUCCGGAAAAAACUCAACAUAAGCCUGCUGAAAAAGCUCAGCGUGUUAUACGAAAGGAUAAUUUGAAAACAGAAGGUGAUAUGACUUUCAUUGAAAAGGAAAAAUAUCAGUUCACUGUACGACCAGAGCAAGUGAUUCCAGCGGAUAAUUUGAGACCUGAAGGUGAAAUUUGUGUUCCUGAAAAGCCGUCAUUUAAGCCAGCUACUAAAACUGAAAGAAUUAUACAUAAAGAUAAUUUGAAAGUUGAGGGUGAAAUGAUUUUCACCACCAAAGAUGAAUAUAUGUUUGUAGAAAAACAGAAGCCAGUAAAGCAUACAGACAAUUUGAAACCUGAGGGUGAAUUUUACUCUCCUACCAAAACAGUAUAUCGUGCAGCAGACCGUCCCGUUCAAAAGAAACCAAAAGAUAAUUUAAAAUCCGAAGGUAGUUUUUAUGUUCCUGAAAAGACUUCAUUUAAAACUGCAUCAAAAUCAGAGCGAAUAAUUCAUAAAGACAAUUUGAAAAUGGAAGGAGAUAUGUGUUUUACGCAAAAAGAAAGCUAUAAAUACGUGAAAAGACCGCAACAAGUAAAACCUACUGAUAAUUUGAAAUCUGAGGGCGAGUUUUACAGUCCAGAUAGUACGAAAUAUGUACCAGCAGAACGACCUCAAGUUAAAAAGCCUGUUGAUAACUUAAAAAGUGAGGGUGAUUUUUAUAGAAUAGAGGAUAAGAAAACAACUAGAAAAAUAACUGCAAGUGACAACGUUGUAAAGGAUAGAACCGAAAGAAUUAUUCCAAAAAAACCUACAGACAACUUAAAAUUGGAAGGUACCAUGGAUAUGCAAAGGAGAGAAGAUUUCAAAUCUACAAACACCAUUACAAAGACAUCUCAAACAGUCUCUAAAAUUAAACAAACUCACAAUGCUUCUUCGAUAAACUUAGGAAGUGAUCAAUCUAUACUUAAGACAACUAACCAAAUGAGUUUUGCUUCUGGUAAAAAUACAAACGUCACAAAUGGAAAUACGAAAUCUCCAGCGGACGGCUUGAUAGUUGUAUCUACAAAGAAGGUAACGACUGUUAUAGGGAGCCGCAAUAAGAAGGAACCGGAAACUGAAUUUGUAAAGCGAAAUGAAAAGGUAAAUAUAAUCGAAAAUACUACAAAAUCGACUAACGCGACAAAGACUAUUAAUAUUGAAAAUAAGCACAGUGAUAUUGUGUCAGUAAAGGAAAAUCAUGUAACACGUGCUAAUCAGAGAAGCAUAACUGAUCAACGUGAUAGUUUAGGAACAAUAAUAGCGAAUGUUGCAACACAAAAUACUGUUUCCAAUAAUGAAUGCAAAAAUGUAUCUAAUGUCUCAAAUAUGACACAUUUAUCCAAUGUUUCAAAAGUAUCCAAUAUUUCAAAUGUGUCCAAUGUUUCAAAUGCAUCCAAUAUUUCUUCUUCAAAACAGUACCAUCACCGCAAAGGUGAGCUUUCCAGCGAAUCGGAUAUAACUAACUCCAUUUUUCAUCGUAAGAAUGUAUCAACUGACUCGAAUCAAUUUGGUGGUCUAUCAUCAAAUGGAAAAAUUCACCGUAAGAGUAUUCUAAAUUUGCACGAACAUUCCAUUGGUGGCAUUCCAAGCGAAAGAAAAAGUUAUAGCAGCAUACACAGGCAAAACAAAGAGUUAGAUUCUUGUUUAUCAACAUCUUCGAAUGAACGUCAAACUUAUAAUGUUGCACACAAAUCGUAUGAUGCUAAAUCAGCAUCUUCGGCAUCAUCAUCAACGAUGACUCGUAUUAUAACUGGCGAAUAUGCAUUACCAUCAACCACACGUACAGAACGCAUAAUUACUCGAAGGAAUGGUGGUCAAUCUUCUUUUACCCUCGGGUCUGAUACGGCAACAUCUUCAAGUCUUUACAAAAGCGAAUAUAAAGGACCUGCUUCAACAACAUGUGCUAUACACAAAAUCCAGCAAGGUGCCUAUCAACAUACCCGAGAUACAAAAGAUCAUAAGUUCUUCAAAAGUUCUAAAUAGUGUCUAAGUCUAAACAAUUAACUAUAAUAUAUAUAUAGCCAUCGCACGAUUUUCUACAUUUUUAAUAUAAUAUCCUUUCUGUAAAUUUCAGAGAAUGUAAACUUAAUACAUGAAACAUAUAAUUACUAACCAUUUUUUGAAUAAUUCUAAUAAAAAUAUUUUUAAAU